rnacentral:rRNA from 1 species
AGAGUUUGAUCAUGGCUCAGGACGAACGCUGGCGGCGUGCUUAACACAUGCAAGUCGAACGGAAAGGCCCCUUCGGGGGUACUCGAGUGGCGAACGGGUGAGUAACACGUGGGUGAUCUGCCCUGCACUUUGGGAUAAGCCUGGGAAACUGGGUCUAAUACCGAAUAGGACCGCAUGCUUCAUGGUGUGUGGUGGAAAGCUUUUGCGGUGUGGGAUGGGCCCGCGGCCUAUCAGCUUGUUGGUGGGGUAAUGGCCUACCAAGGCGACGACGGGUAGCCGGCCUGAGAGGGUGUCCGGCCACACUGGGACUGAGAUACGGCCCAGACUCCUACGGGAGGCAGCAGUGGGGAAUAUUGCACAAUGGGCGCAAGCCUGAUGCAGCGACGCCGCGUGGGGGAUGACGGCCUUCGGGUUGUAAACCUCUUUCAGUAUCGGCGAAGCUCCAGGAUUUUUCUUGGGGUGACGGUAGGUACAGAAGAAGCACCGGCCAACUACGUGCCAGCAGCCGCGGUAAUACGUAGGGUGCGAGCGUUGUCCGGAAUUACUGGGCGUAAAGAGCUCGUAGGUGGUUUGUCACGUUGUCCGUGAAAACUCACAGCUUAACUGUGGGCGUGCGGGCGAUACGGGCAGACUGGAGUACUGUAGGGGAGACUGGAAUUCCUGGUGUAGCGGUGGAAUGCGCAGAUAUCAGGAGGAACACCGGUGGCGAAGGCGGGUCUCUGGGCAGUAACUGACGCUGAGGAGCGAAAGCGUGGGGAGCGAACAGGAUUAGAUACCCCGGUAGUCC